rnacentral:tRNA from 1 species
CCGACCUUAGCUCAGUUGGAAGAGCGCAAGACUGUAAUGGAUAACUUCAUCUUGAUGUCGCCUGUUCGAGCCAGGCAGGUCGGA